UACAGAGGUCUCAAGCGUUUGUUCGGAUUCAUUGGGCGUAAAGGGUGCGUAGGCGGGAGAGUAAGUCCGCGGUGAAAUCUCACAGCUCAACUGUGAAACUGCCGUUGAUACUGCUUUUCUUGAGUUCGGGAGAGGUUGAUGGAAUUCCAGGUGUAGCGGUGAAAUGCGCAGAUAUUAGGAGGAACACCGGUGGCGAAGGCGCUGCUCUGGGCCGAUACUGACGCUGAGGAGCGAAAGCGUGGGUAGCAAACAGG
rnacentral:rRNA from 1 species